CCAGUCAGGGUGAAAGACUUCUUUGAUGAACCCUGUUGCGAGUAGUUUGGCUAAUUCUUUUUUGAUUGCUUCUCGUCUGUCUUGGGCGAACCUGCGGAGUCGCUGUCGUUUUGGAGUAGCUUUGGGAUCAACGUUUAGAGAGUGCUCAAUCAGUUCCUUGGGCACACCGGGCAUGUCGGCUGGUUUCCAAGCAAAGAUAUCAUGGUUAGCCCGAAG
rnacentral:lncRNA from 1 species